AUGGAAUCACAAAAGACCCAGAAUAGCCAAAGCUAUUCUGGGCAAAAAGAACAAAACUGGAAGAAUCACAUUGCCUGACUUCAAAUUACAUUACAGAGCUAUAAUAACCCAAACAGCAUAGUUCUGGUAUAAAAACAGACAAAUAGACCAAUGGAACAGAAUAGAGAAUGCAGAUACAAAUUCACACACCUACAAUAAACUCACUUUUGAGAAAGGUGCCAAGAACAUACACUGGAAAAAAAGACAUUUUUUUCAAUAAGUAGUGCUGGGAAAACUGGAUAUUUAUAUACAGAAUGAAAUGUAUCUCCCACCAUAUGCAAAAAUCAAAAUAGACUAAAGAAUUAAACCUAAAACCUCAAACUGUGAAACUACUACAAGAAAACAUUUGGAAAAAUCUCUAGGAUAUUGCCUUGGGCAAAGAUUUUUUGAGUAAUACCACAUAAGCAGAGGCAACCAAAGCAAAAAUGGAUAAAUAGGAUUAUAUCAAGUUAAAAAGCCUAAGCACAGCAAAGGAAACAAUCAACAAAAUGAAGAGAAAACCCACAGCCCUCCAAACUGUUCUAACCUCUGCCUGUUACCCAGUUUCUAACUCACUUCCACAUCUUUGGGUAUCUUUUCAGCAAUGCCCCACUCUACUGGUACCAAUUUACUCUAUUAUUCCAUUUUCAGACUGUUGAUAAAGACAUACCUGAGACCGGGUAAUUUACAAAAGAAAGAGGUUUAAUGACUUAACAGUUCUACUUGGCUGGGGAGGCCUCACAAUCACGGUGGAAGGUGAAAGGUAUGUCUCACACAACGGCAGAGAAGAGAGCUUGUGCAGGGAGACUCCCCUCUAUAAAAUAAUCUGCUCUCAUGAAACUUAUUCACUAUUAUGAGAACAGCACAGGAAAGACCUGCCUCCAUGAUUCAAUUACCUCCCACCAAGUCCCUCCCAUAACAUGUGGGAAUUCA
rnacentral:lncRNA from 1 species